CCUACGGGAGGCAGCAGUAGGGAAUAUUGCUCAAUGGGGGAAACCCUGAAGCAGCAACGCCGCGUGGAGGAUGAAGGUUUUCGGAUUGUAAACUCCUUUUGUUAGAGAAGAUAAUGACGGUAUCUAACGAAUAAGCACCGGCUAACUCCGUGCCAGCAGCCGCGGUAAUACGGAGGGUGCAAGCGUUACUCGGAAUCACUGGGCGUAAAGAGCGCGUAGGCGGGAUAGCAAGUCAGAUGUGAAAUCCUAGGGCUGAACCAUAGAACUGCAUUUGAAACUGUUAUUCUAGAGUAUGGGAGAGGUAGGUGGAAUUCUUGGUGUAGGGGUAAAAUCCGUAGAGAUCAAGAGGAAUACUCAUGGCGAAGGCGACCUGCUAGAACAUAACUGACGCUGAUGCGCGAAAGCGUGGGGAGCAAACAGGAUUAGAUACCCCAGUAGUC
rnacentral:rRNA from 1 species